GGUUACAUAGCUUAGUGGUUAGGUUACUGGUCUUGUAUUCCAGGGGUCAUGAGUUCAAAUCUCACUGGAGCCU